AUGGCCACCACCGCCGCCGCACUGCCCUCGGGCUACUUCGGCUCCGUCCAGGGCCGGCCCACGCGCCUCGCUCCGGCAGCCAGCGGACGUAACUGUCUGCUCCUCCGCUGCUCCGCGUCGGGUGGUGAUGGCUCUGGCGGCCCCGACCCGGUCCUCGAGGAGCAAAAGCGGCGUCGGGCCGAGCUCUCCGCUCGCGCUUCCUCUGGAGAGUUCACCGCCCCAGGCACCGGAUGGCUGGCCAAGCUGGGCCCGCCGGGGGCGCUCGCGGUUGGGCUCCUCAAGGUAGCGGGCGUCGGCGCGGCGCGCAGGGGCCCGGAGCUGCCGCAGGUGGCAGGGUCGCUGGCUGCCGGGGACGCCAUCUUCCUGCCGCUCUACGACCACUUCCUCAAACACGGCGGCGUCUUUCGCCUCAACCUCGGGCCCAAGUCUUUUGUCAUCGUCUCUGAUCCAGAUAUAGCUAAGCAUAUCCCCAGGGACAACUCCAAGGCUUAUUCCAAGGGUAUUCUUGCGGAAAUACUGGAGUUUGUAAUGGGUACGGGUCUGAUCCCAGCUGACGGGGAGGUUUGGCGUGUUCGACGGCGUGCCAUUGUACCAUCAUUGCAUCAGAAGUUUGUGACGGAGAUGAUAGGUCUCUUUGGGAAAGCUUCAGACCGGCUGUGUCAGAAGUUGGACAAGGCGGCAUUGGAUGGGGCGGAUGUGGAGAUGGAAUCUUUGUUCUCUCGACUUACAUUGGAUGUCAUUGGGAAGGCAGUAUUCAAUUAUGAUUUUGAUUCAUUAUCUUAUGAUAAUGGAAUGGUUGAGGCUGCGUAUGUAACACUACGAGAAGCGGAAAUGCGGAGCACUGCUCCUAUACCAACUUGGAAAAUACCAAUAUGGAAAGACAUCUCCCCUCGGCAGAGGAAGGUUAAUGAAGCUCUUGUGCUAAUAAAUAAUGUUCUUGAUGAACUAAUUUCUACAUGCAAGAGAAUGGUAGAUGAAGAAGAUCUGCAGUUUCAUGAGGAAUAUAUGAAUGAGCAAGAUCCUAGCAUUCUCCGCUUUCUAUUGGCAUCCGGAGAAGAUGUCUCCAGCAAGCAGCUUCGUGAUGAUCUGAUGACAAUGCUCAUAGCUGGCCAUGAGACCUCUGCAGCAGUCCUAACAUGGACAUUUUACCUUCUAUCUAAGUGCCCAAAAGUAAUGUCCAAGCUCCAGGCUGAGGUUGAUGAUGUUCUAGGAGAUGGUUUACCAACAAUUGAGGAUGUGAAGAAACUAAAGUAUACUACUCGAGUUAUUAACGAAUCUUUGAGACUAUAUCCACAACCGCCAGUUUUAAUUCGUCGGUCCCUUGAGGAUGAUAUGCUAGGGGAGUACCCAAUCGGCAGGGGUGAAGACAUUUUUAUAUCCAUCUGGAAUCUUCAUCGCUGCCCAAAGCACUGGGAUGAUGCAGAUGUUUUUAGUCCGGAAAGGUGGCCUUUGGACGGUCCAAAUCCAAAUGAGACAAACCAAAAAUUCAGUUACUUGCCAUUUGGUGGCGGACCAAGGAAAUGUGUAGGUGAUAUGUUUGCUACUUUUGAGAAUGUGGUGGCAACCGCAAUGCUUGUCAAGCGGUUUGAUUUUCAGAUGGCUCCAGGACCACCUCUGGUCGAGAUGACAACCGGAGCAACGAUUCACACAACUAAAGGGUUGAACAUGACUGUUAGUCGGAGGACAAAGCCACCCGUAAUUCCAAUUUAG
rnacentral:rRNA from 1 species